GUCUGACUCAUAGCUCAGUCGGUAGAGCAUGAGACUCUUAAUCUCAGAGUUGUGUGUUUGAGCCUCUGUUGGGCA